rnacentral:piRNA from 1 species
AUGUAGUUUUGGGAGGUAACUUCGGGCA